GAAGGUUCAAUAAAGGAGAAACAUGAAUCUGAACUUGGUGAUGAAGAAGUGCAGCAGUUUGAACAAUGUACCUCAGAAACAGUUGAUGAGCUUUCAAAAGAGAGUGAAUUAGACAAGGAUGCACAGGUUCUUGAAAAAGACAGCAAACCUGUGAAGGAUGAUAAGGAGCAACUUGAACCAGACAAGGAGGCACAGGUUCUUGAAAAAGACAGCAAACCUGUGGAGGAUGAUAAGGAGCAACUUGAAUCUGAAGAGGAGAGUCCUGCUUCAGGGGAGGGUUCAAGAAACGUGAAACAUGAAUCUGAACUUGCUGAUAAAGAAGUGCAGCAACAAGGUAGCCCUGAAACAGUUGAUGAGGUUUCAAAAGAUAGUGAACCAGACAAGGAGGCACAGUAUUUGAGAGUGAAGAGUCUUGAAAAGGACAGCAAACCUGUGGAGGAUGAUAAGGAGCA
rnacentral:lncRNA from 1 species